rnacentral:rRNA from 1 species
UACGUAGGGUGCAAGCGUUAAUCGGAAUUACUGGGCGUAAAGGGCGCGUAGGCGGCUAGAUGUGUCAAAGGUGAAAUCCCUCGGCUCAACUGAGGAACUGCCUUUGAAACUGUCUGGCUUGAGGCCGGGAGAGGGUAGCGGAAUUCCCAGUGUAGCGGUGAAAUGCGUAGAUAUUGGGAGGAACACCAGUGGCGAAGGCGGCUACCUGGACCGGUUCUGACGCUGAGGCGCGAAAGCGUGGGUAGCAAACAGG